GACGAACGCUGGCGGCGUGCUUAACACAUGCAAGUCGAACGGAAAGGCCCUGCUUUUGUGGGGUGCUCGAGUGGCGAACGGGUGAGUAACACGUGAGUAACCUGCCCUUGACUUUGGGAUAACUUCAGGAAACUGGGGCUAAUACCGGAUAGGAUCUCCUGCUGCAUGGUGGGGGUUGGAAAGUUUCGGCGGUUGUGGCUAGACUAGCUGCUUAUCCGCUUGUUGGGGGGGUAGUGGCGUACGAAGGCUUUGACGGGUAGCCGGCCUGAGAGGGUGACCGGCCACAUUGCGACUGAGAUACGGAGCAGACUCCUACGUGAGGCAGCAGUGGGGAGUAUUGCGCAAUGGGCGGAAGCCUGAUGCGGCAACGCCGCGUGCGUGAUGACGGCCUACUGGUGGUAAACCGCUUUCGCCUGUGACGAAGCGUGAGUGACGGUAAUGGGUAAAAAAGCACCGGCUAACUACGUG
rnacentral:rRNA from 1 species